rnacentral:rRNA from 1 species
UCACUCCAACCCCUGUGACAUACCUAUACGUUGCCUCGGCGGAUCAGCCCGCGCCCCGUAAAAAGGGACGGCCCGCCCGAGGACCCCUAAACUCUGUUUUUAGUGGAACUUCUGAGUAAAACAAACAAAUAAAUCAAAACUUUCAACAACGGAUCUCUUGGUUCUGGCAUCGAUGAAGAACGCAGCAAAAUGCGAUAAGUAAUGUGAAUUGCAGAAUUCAGUGAAUCAUCGAAUCUUUGAACGCACAUUGCGCCCGCCAGUAUUCUGGCGGGCAUGCCUGUUCGAGCGUCAUUUCAACCCUCAAGCUCAGCUUGGUGUUGGGACUCGCGGUAACCCGCGUUCCCCAAAUCGAUUGGCGGUCACGUCGAGCUUCCAUAGCGUAGUAAUCAUACACCUCGUUACUGGUAAUCGUCGCGGCCACGCCGUAAAACCCCAACUUCUGAAUGUUGACCUCGGAUCAGGUAGGAAUACCCGCUGAACUUAAGCAUAUCAAUAAGCGGAGGA